rnacentral:tRNA from 2 species
UCUAAGAGUGGCAGAAAAGUGUCAUGAGCUUAAAAUUCAUUCAUAAAUUUAUAUUUCCUUAGAA